rnacentral:misc_RNA from 2 species
AACGCACAUUGCGCCCUUUGGUAUUCCGAAGGGCAUGCCUGUUCGAGCGUCAUUAUCACCCCUCGGGCCCCGUGCUCGGUGUUGGACGGCCGGUUCGGUGACCGAACCCCUCCUAAAGACAAUGACGGCGGCCUGUGGUUCCCCCGGUACACUGAGCCUUUGGCACGUGCCGGACGAGGGCGCCCAGGACCCGGUCCUCUCCUCUCAGCAGGAAACUUCUCAAGGUUGACCUCGGAUCAGGUAGGAAUACGCGCUGAACUUAA